GAUGAACGCUGGCGGCGUGCUUAACACAUGCAAGUCGAACGGGAAAUCUUUCAUUGAGACUUCGGUGGAUUUGAUUUAUUUCUAGUGGCGGACGGGUGAGUAACGCGUGGGUAACCUGCCUUAUACAGGGGGAUAACAGUCAGAAAUGGCUGCUAAUACCGCAUAAGCGCACAGAGCUGCAUGGCUCAGUGUGAAAAACUCCGGUGGUAUAAGAUGGACCCGCGUUGGAUUAGCUAGUUGGUGGGGUAACGGCCCACCAAGGCGACGAUCCAUAGCCGGCCUGAGAGGGUGAACGGCAACAUUGGGACUGAGACACGGCCCAGACUCCUACGGGAGGCAGCAGUGGGGAAUAUUGCACAAUGGGGGAAACCCUGAUGCAGCGACGCCGCGUGAAGGAAGAAGUAUCUCGGUAUGUAAACUUCUAUCAGCAGGGAAGAUAGUGACGGUACCUGACUAAGAAGCCCCGGCUAACUACGUG
rnacentral:rRNA from 1 species